AGCUGCUACUGUUCUGUCUCAUCGUCUGUGCCUGCGCUCAAGAUCCGGUUGACCCUCCACAGCCGUACACUUUUGGCUUCGAGAAUGUGGACGAGUACGGCACGCAGCUCUACCACAAAGAGUCGGGUGAUGCCAGCAACGCCAAGAAAGGCUCGUACGGCUACAAGGACGCCGGAGGCCUGUUCAGACGCGUCGAAUACGUGGCUGACCUGAACGGCUACCGCGCCACCGUGGACACCAACGAACCGGGAACUGCACCCGGCCAAACGGGCGACGCCGUCUUCAACGCCAACCCGAUUGUCGUCCCCUUCGCGAAGUCGGCGUCCGCACCUGUGCCAGCAUUUGCGCCAAAGCCAGUCGGAGCCGGCGGAAUCCAGUUACCGUGGUCGAUCUGAGAACGCUGUGAACUUUGCUUAGAGAAAUAUCGUAUAGCAACAAAUUUCUUGCCAAAAGAGAGCGAUUACCUUUGGCUAGCGUAGUCCCGCCGGUGAAUGUGUUAGGGCGAACGGCUCAAGUGUUUAUGAGAAUGAAUUGUCGGGUUGAAGGCAUUUUAGUUGCAAGUCACAUGCUUAUGCGGCGCGCUUGCUCUUCGCUUAUGUCUAAGCUGCUUUGUCCAAGUGCAUUUGUCAAGUUCAAAUCCUUUCUAGUUCAGUAUGCUCCACUGCAGACGCUGCAUUAGCCUUUUGUUUGUUUGUAUUUUUUUAGAUAAAUCUGCUCUCUGUAUUCCAGAGGAAAGCUCUGCGUUGACUUGCUUGCAAAUCUGGUGUUUGGAUCUCGCGGCUCUUGCGGUGCCAUUUGCUUUGUUAAGACCGUGUGUGUUAUGUUGCUGUGCAGUUGUCCUUGUGAAUGUUAUCAUUAUGCAAAUAAACAGCAUAAAAUAUA